GAUGAACGCUGGCGGUGUGCCUAAUACAUGCCAGUCGAGCGAACAGACGAGGAGCUUACUCCUCUGACGUUAGCGGCGGACGGGUGAGUAACACGUGGAUAACCUACCUAUAAGACUGGGAUAACUUCGGGAAACCGGAGCUAAUACCGGAUAACAUGUUGAACCGCAUGGUUCAACAGUGAAAGACGGUCUUGCUGUCACUUAUAGAUGGAUCCGCGUCGCAUUAGCUAGUUGGUAAGGUAACGGCUUACCAAGGCAACGAUGCGUAGCCGACCUGAGAGGGUGAUCGGCCACACUGGAACUGAGACACGGUCCAGACUCCUACGGGAGGCAGCAGUGGGGAAUCUUCCGCAAUGGGCGAAAGCCUGACGGAGCAACGCCGCGUGAGUGAAGAAGGUCUUCGGAUCGUAAAACUCUGUUAUUAGGGAAGAACAAAUGUGUAAGUAACUAUGCACGUCUUGACGGUACCUAAUCAGAAAGCCACGGCUAACUACGUG
rnacentral:rRNA from 1 species